UGGCUGAAGACUGUGAAAGAGAAAGAG
rnacentral:piRNA from 1 species